CCUACGGGAUGCAGCAGUGGGGAAUAUUGCACAAUGGGCGCAAGCCCGAUGCAGCCAUGCCGCGUGUAUGAAGAAGGCCUUCGGGUUGUAAAGUACUUUCAGCGGGGAGGAAGGUGUUGUGGUUAAUAACCACAGCAAUUGACGUUACCCGCAGAAGAAGCACCGGCUAACUCCGUGCCAGCAGCCGCGGUAAUACGGAGGCUGCAAGCGUUAAUCGGAAUUACUGGGCGUAAAGCGCACGCAGGCGGUCUGUCAAGUCGGAUGUGAAAUCCCCGGGCUCAACCUGGGAACUGCAUUCGAAACUGGCAGGCUAGAGUCUUGUAGGGGGGGGUAGAGUUCCAGGUGUAGCGGUGAAAUGCGUAGAGACCUGGAGGAAUACCAGUGGCGAAGGCGGCCCCCUGGACAAAGACUGACGCUCAGAUGCGAAAGCGUGGGGAGCAAACAGGAUUAGAUACCCUGGUAGUC
rnacentral:rRNA from 1 species